rnacentral:rRNA from 1 species
GAUAACAGGCUGAUACCGCCCAAGAGUUCAUAUCGACGGCGGUGUUUGGCACCUCGAUGUCGGCUCAUCACAUCCUGGGGCUGAAGUAGGUCCCAAGGGUAUGGCUGUUCGCCAUUUAAAGUGGUACGCGAGCUGGGUUUAGAACGUCGUGAGACAGUUCGGUCCCUAUCUGCCGUGGGCGCUGGAGAACUGAGGGGGGCUGCUCCUAGUACGAGAGGACCGGAGUGGACGCAUCACUGGUGUUCGGGUUGUCAUGCCAAUGGCACUGCCCGGUAGCUAAAUGCGGAAGAGAUAAGUGCUGAAAGCAUCUAAGCACGAAACUUGCCCCGAGAUGAGUUCUCCCUGACUCCUUGAGAGUCCUGAAGGAACGUUGAAGACGACGACGUUGAUAGGCCGGGUGUGUAAGCGCAGCGAUGCGUUGAGCUAACCGGUACUAAUGAACCGUGAGGCUUAACCUU